UCAAACUAUAUAAUAUGGCUUCAAAUUUUUUGGGUUUCGGUUUUGCUUCUUAAUUUAGUUUCAUGGAUAUGCGGUACUGAUUUAAAGAAGAACAGAUAGGAUGAAGAUGAAGAAAGACAAUAACCAUACUGCUUUUGCUUAUACAGUGUAGGGAUGGCCGCGUAUGUUAUACUACACAAUGUUUGUUGUUGAGCUUCAACAGCGGAUCAGAUGUCUCAGUGCUGCAUGGAAGCAUGAGAGGACGUGUUAAAUUCUUGAGCUCGAGAUCACAUCUCAGUGAUUCCAUGAUCUAUUCUUGGAAUUUCGGACGAGACAAAUGUGCAAGAUUUCAAGACUGCAGAAGUGUGGUGGGACGUGGAUUAGAGCGGCUAUAAGAAAAACGUUUCCCUGCCCUCGAGCCGACAUGGAGGUUGUUCAUUUACCGUUCCUUUUAAACCUCUGUAUGUCUGAUCGUGUGGUGUCGUCUGCUGCUCCGACAUGAAUGGAAAAUGUUACAGUUGAUCAGUUCGUUAGUGGCAUUCGCUUUCAAGUUUGUGAGGAGAAUUCUUAGGGUAUGGGUUUUAUGUUAAACAAAAUUGAUGUGCUUUGCAUUCUCAGUGCGCUUAGAUGCAUGGAAGGCCUUCAAGAGCGCCUAGAAUUCAUGUGGUUCUUUAGAUUUCCCUUUGUGCUUUUCAAGUUAAAAGUUAAUAGGGCCGGCCCUGGCCUAGUGCAAACAGCGGCGUCCAGAGCCUUUCUUCCAGACCAGUGCCCUUCUGUCGCAGCUUUCCUUAUUGGCCUCUUGACCUCCACUUCAGAAAUCGCCUAAAACUCGACUGAAUUUUACAGCAUCGGCCGCCGUCGUUCACCAUUGCAGUCCCUCUGUCCGCAGCUCAUUGAGCCUUCUGGUUACUCUUGCUCCGAGCACACUAUUCAGACGAAAGAUGGGUACUUACUGGGUUUGAGAUGUGAAGGACUAAUGAGGUUGCUUUGGUGGGGAGUGUUCCCCAUAACUGAUCCGUGAGUAAAAUAUUGAUUCUCUGGACACCUGGUUAGUGAAAAGCCUUACUUUUAUAGCUCCUCCCAAUUUUUUCAACAUAUUGGUCGCACUAAGUUGAUUAUUUCAAAAUUUGAACGUAUAGCUCACUAUAUGGUGCUCCCUGAUCUCAAGUUUCCAGGUUCUGUUGAAAGUUGCUUUCUUGAAACGAAAAAUGAUGAACUUCCGUGGGAUAUAUAUUUUAAAUUAGGCUCUAAUGUGCUUUAAACUCAAUUGAACUUGGUUACUAGCUUUUCUUGUUCUUAACCAGGUGACGCAUGGUUCUUAAAUUCUCCAGAAGAAUAGCUGGGAUUCGUCCUUGCAGAUGAAGGUUUCGAUGUAUGGGUAGGGAAUGUGUGUGGAACACGUUGGAGUCAUUGACACAAUCUUUAUCAGAAGAGAAUCAGGUUUAUACUUUAUUGUAGGAUUUUUGGGAUUGGAGUUGGCAGGAAUUGGCUCUAUUUGAUCUGUCAGAAAAGACGCGCUGCAUAUAUUCGAAGCUCCAAAGUCUAUGUUGUUGGACAUUCACAGGAACAAUAAUGUCUUUAGCUGCUCUCACCCAGCCGGACAUAGCAGAACUGGCUGAAGCUGCCGCUCUUUUCUCUCCAAUUUCGUACUCGGAACAUAUCACUUCUAAAUUUGCACCUAGAAUGGUCAACAUAUAUAUAUUGAUCAGUGAAUGGGGUGUCAACCUUUGGAUUCAAUAUGUGGUGGCCAUGCUGACUGCUUGGACUAGUUGUAUAUGAUUUUGCUUUUGAUCGUUGGGGUUUAGGUAUUAUGUUCCCCCUGUUGUAUAUUUUCUCUUUUGAGUAAUAUAAUAUGGGCGUGAGGGCCUAGCCUCCCAGCUUUGACUGGGUUCCAGCCCUCUUUAAA